rnacentral:lncRNA from 1 species
GAAUUUAAUAUGCAUUACUGUGGUAUUUCUCCAGUUUUCUAAGAAGGCUGGUGAUUUUGAAUUGGGAUUAUGAUGAAUUUAACCCAAAGGCAAUUAGGGAAUCCAAACCACGUGACCUCUGGUUGGCACACAAACUAACAAAGAGGUUAUGUUUGUAUCUAUUUUUCAAUGAUUUUUCAUUGUUUAUCGUCGUAUUUUGGAUUCAUUUGGAUUUCGUUUCCUGUUUUUGUGAACUUUAUAAACUUUACCACAAUGCAAACUGAUUAUUUAAGGAAAUUAUUAUUGGAAACUCCAGAUGUUGCGAGAAAGAUAUUUAUUGAAGCUGAAAAUAAUUGGGGAUUUAGAUCCAUACGCAAUUCAGUCAGAAUUGGAUUUUACAGUAAAGUGCAGUCCAUCAAGUUACUAUUAUAGAUAUUUAUACAUAUCUGGUGGAGUCUGAUAUGUCACAGUUGCUACUCUAAGCAGCAGAUGAAAGCAUACAAAAGCCUUCAGGCACAUAAAUAUUUUACAGCUGGAUUUGUUUUGAAUGGAGUAAAAAUUGUUAAUGAUUUCCUGAUUUCCAUAUUAUUGUCGGAAAGGUGAAGCAUUUCCAAAAAUCUAAUGCUAAACGACUAAAUGCUUGGGUGGGGUGAUAGCCAGUUCUGAUGACAUAGCAAAUUCACAUUGUAUGGGUAUGGCCGGUAAUAGUGAAGUCUGCAGCAAUCCUAUUUUUAGCUUAGUAUGCUCAGGGCAAGACAGACGAAGAAGAACCCAAUGUAUGUACAUAUGUUACAGCUAUACCUCGUCCAAUUUACUUACCUUUGCACGUCAUCCGCGCCAUAGCCUGUGACACGAUACCAACACGAAAUAUCUAGGCGGUAGGUGUGUUCCCCUUUAGAAUCAUUUUGAUUCUAAAAAAGAACACAUCCACCGCCUAAAUAUUUUGUGUUGGUAUCGUGUCACAGGCUAUGGCGCGGAUGACGUGCAACGGUAAGUAAAUUGGACGAGGUAUAGAUGGUUUGGAGAUAGCAACAUAUGCAUUCUCUGAUGAAAAACUAAUGAGUUUUGAAACUGUUCGGUCAGAGUGCUUGUUGCGCUCACUAAACGAAUUGAAAUAUAAGAUGGCUUUGGCAUUGUGUUGCAGUGAUAUGAAAAUGGUUAUUCAUUUUUAAUUAUAAUGUACUUCUUCAUCAUGAGUAAUUAUGUAUUGGUCUUUUAAAUGUGUAUUUAUUUUUGUAAUUAGUAUCAACUUGUAAUGAUAAUAUACAUUUAUCGUUGAGGGUAUGACUAUGUUUUGACUCUAAAAUAAAUGUUUUAAAAAUCGAA